rnacentral:rRNA from 1 species
CUUGGUCAUUUAGAGGAAGUAAAAGUCGUAACAAGGUUUCCGUAGGUGAACCUGCGGAAGGAUCAUUAAAGGUUUCGGGUACCCAGUGCCCAAACUUCAACCCUAUGUUUUAACUAAAUCAGUUUCUUUGCCGGUUUCGGCCGGCAGAAGUUUUCUAAAACUCAUUAUAAAUGUGUCUUCUGAAUCAAAAUUAAAUAAAUUAAAACUUUCAACAACGGAUCUCUCGGUUCUGGCAUCGAUGAAGAACGCAGCGAAAUGCGAUAAGUAAUGUGAAUUGCAGAAUUCAGUGAAUCAUCGAAUCUUUGAACGCAUAUUGCGCCCUUUGGCAUUCCGAAGGGCAUACCUGUUCGAGCGUCAUUACACCUCUCAAAGUUAACUCUUUGGCGUUGGGCAAUGCCUAGAGGCAUGCCUCAAAAUCAGCGAUGGUGAUAUUCAACCACAGGCGCACAAACGUCGUCUAGCUGGCGGGAUGUUGUCAGUCAAUUGAUGAAUUUCUCAAUGUUGACCUCGGAUCAGGUAGGAUUACCCGCUGAACUUAAGCAUAUCAAUAAGCGGGAGGA